rnacentral:rRNA from 1 species
AUUGAACGCUGGCGGCAUGCCUUACACAUGCAAGUCGAACGGCAGCACGGGAGCAAUCCUGGUGGCGAGUGGCGAACGGGUGAGUAAUAUAUCGGAACGUGCCCAGUAGUGGGGGAUAGCCCGGCGAAAGCCGGAUUAAUACCGCAUACGACCUGUGGGUGAAAGCGGGGGAUCGCAAGACCUCGCGCUAUUGGAGCGGCCGAUAUCAGAUUAGCUUGUUGGUGGGGUAAAAGCCCACCAAGGCGACGAUCUGUAGCUGGUCUGAGAGGACGACCAGCCACACUGGGACUGAGACACGGCCCAGACUCCUACGGGAGGCAGCAGUGGGGAAUUUUGGACAAAUGGGGCGCAAGCCUGAUCCAGCCAUGCCGCGUGAGUGAAGAAGGCCCUUGGGUU